rnacentral:tRNA from 1 species
GCGGAAGUAGCUCAGUCGGUAGAGCAUUAGCUUCCCAAGCUAAGGGUCGCGGGUUCGAAUCCCGUUUUCCGCU